AGUUCAGAUAGCUGUUUAACUGCCAACAAGUUGGAAAUUUCAGUGAAGUCAUCCUUUAAAAAAAUGUAACUUGGGACCUUGAUAUGAAGAAGCUGAAGUCCGGAAAAAACUUGAGGAAAAAGACAGGCAGGAGGAAGCACAGCGGCUACAACAAAAAAGGCAGGAAACAGGAAGAGAGGAUGGUGGCACAUUGGCUAAAGGUUCUUUGGAGAACGUAUUGGAUUCCAAAGACAAAACCCAAAAGAGCAAUGGUGAAAAGAAUGAAAAAUGUGAGACCAAAGAGAAAGGAGCAAUCACAGCAAAGGAACUAUACACAAUGAUGACGGAUAAAAACAUCAGCUUGAUUAUAAUGGAUGCUCGAAGAAUGCAGGAUUAUCAGGAUUCCUGUAUUUUACAUUCUCUCAGUGUUCCUGAAGAAGCCAUCAGUCCAGGAGUCACUGCUAGUUGGAUUGAAGCACACCUCCCAGAUGAUUCUAAAGACACAUGGAAGAAGAGGGGGAAUGUGGAGUAUGUGAUACUUCUUGACUGGUUUAGU
rnacentral:sRNA from 1 species